GGCAGAAGAGAAUGAAACAAAGGGCAGAAGCUGCUGUUUAUUUGUUUGAAUACAUACAGUGAACCUGUGUGUGUUUGUCGUGAAGUCAACCUACUGGACCUGAGAUGAACAUAGAAAGGUUACACGUUCCCUCAGAUCUGUUGGAUGGAGUUCGGAACAGCGUGACACAUUUCUCUUCAUUCACGUGUUGAGAUUCUGCGCGGCUGCCAAACGGGCUCCUGGCUGACGGCCUCCGACGUGCAGCACGAGGCUCUACCUGGCUGAUUGCUGACGCGGAGGAAGGAGAACAGACACCAGGAUGAAAGGAAGACAGAGAGAGACAGAGAGAGAGGGCUUUUGUUUCCAUCCUCGGCCUCCUCUGAAGGACUCCGUCAGAUGGCUCGGGGAAUCCACCGUGCGGUAUUCCGACGUAUCCCUGCAGGAACUCGACCACGGACUGGGGGAAGGACAGCUCGUCCGCCCGCUCC